AGACCUGUGGCCCAGUGGUAAAGCACUUGCCUACCAUCCUCAAGACGUGGGUUCGAGCCCCGGCUCUG